UCUUCUCUUCUCUUCUCUUCUCUUCUCUUCCCCUUUUCUCUUUUUACCUUUUUUUCUUUUUUUUCUUCUUCUUUUUUUUUUUUUAGUUUCUUUUUUGAUACCACAGCUGUGGGCACUUCGCAGCUGAGUGGGGACCUGAUGAGCAAAGACCCACAGCUGGACUGGGUGGUGCUGGUGGAUGGUAGGGGGGACCCUCGGGGCACCCUGCAUGUAGGCUUUAAAUACAGAAAAAGGCAGAUUAAUUAGCUACAUAAACAACAGCACGUUUAUUAAUUUUACAGGCAGUGCUCGAUGAGCAAUGGCACCGGCCCUGAACCCAGCUGCACUUUGUCAGAGCCGUGUGCGGUGCUCCAAGGCCGAGCUGGGCUCUUGCCUCUUGGGGCUCCUGGCUGGGCUCGGGGUGCUGCUGCUUGGGCUCAGCAGGGCUCUGGGCUCAUUUGGCUGGGUUUGGGGCUCGGGCACAGGACUGAGCUGGGUGUUCCUGAGCCUUGGAAAUGGAGCCUGAGCCCUGUGUUUUGGGGGCUUGGGAAGAGGCCCAGUGUGCUGCUAUUGAGGCUUGAAAACAGGGAGCCCGUGCUGUGUGCUGGGGUUCCAAAGCAAGACGGAGAUGCAAAUGAGCCAAAGCAGCAGUGAGUGGGAAGUGAACCAAAGAUCUCCAGCAGGGCUGGAGAUGUCAGCUAUCUAGAGGUGGAGAUGUCUGUGAGCUGGAAGCACAAUAUGUUAAGGAUGUUCUGGGCUAAUAAAUCAAUAAAUACAAACUGAAUCAGUCAGUGCCUAUACAAUGUACAACUAUGGCACUGAAUAUUAAUAUUCAAGUUAUGACAGUGAUUGACUUAUGACCUUGUCUAAAGUCCAAACUGUUUGAACAAGUACAGGCUGGAAGUAUCCAGGGCUCCCUGGAUACCUGUGCUCCCUGCAGUGUCCCACCUGCUCAGUAAAGCAACAGCAUAAAGCAAUGGUGAGCUGCAUACACAAACAGCCCCAGCUGCAGGAGAAACCCACCCCAGGUGGGUGCAGGUCCCUCAUCCAGCUCCAGCAGCCCCAAAGGAUGUGCCCUGACACCCAUGGCCAAACACUGAUACUAACCUUAAACCAGGAGCUACCAGCCACCACCGUGUGAGCUGUGCCUCGUGAUCCACCUGCAGGAGUUGAAAGGAUCUGUGCUGAAACCUGUGUGUGAAGAGAGUGUGAAAAGGAAGCAGGCCUGCUCAGGCACUUCUUGCACAGCCAAUAGAAGACAGCCCUAAGAUGUUUCAGCACUGGUGUGAGCCCUGCUGCUCCAUCUACUUCACCAGCUCUUGUUAUAGACCCCAGUCCUGUGUUUACCAUGCACUUGCUGAAAUAUGGAGCUGCACAGAAUUGUAAGGAUCAAGAUAGAAGUCCAGUGUUCUUAGAAAACAUUUUAG